GCAGUCGAGCGGUAGCACAGAGAGCUUGCUCUCGGGUGACGAGCGGCGGACGGGUGAGUAAUGUCUGGGAAACUGCCUGAUGGAGGGGGAUAACUACUGGAAACGGUAGCUAAUACCGCAUAACGUCGCAAGACCAAAGUGGGGGACCUUCGGGCCUCAUGCCAUCAGAUGUGCCCAGAUGGGAUUAGCUAGUAGGUGGGGUAACGGCUCACCUAGGCGACGAUCCCUAGCUGGUCUGAGAGGAUGACCAGCCACACUGGAACUGAGACACGGUCCAGACUCCUACGGGAGGCAGCAGUGGGGAAUAUUGCACAAUGGGCGCAAGCCUGAUGCAGCCAUGCCGCGUGUGUGAAGAAGGCCUUCGGGUUGUAAAGCACUUUCAGCGGGGAGGAAGGCGAUAAGGUUAAUAACCUUGUCGAUUGACGUUACCCGCAGAAGAAGCACCGGCUAACUCCGUGCCAGCAGCCGCGGUAAUACGGAGGGUGCAAGCGUUAAUCGGAAUUACUGGGCGUAAAGCGCACGCAGGCGGUCUGUCAAGUCGGAUGUGAAAUCCCCGGGCUCAACCUGGGAACUGCAUUCGAAACUGGCAGGCUAGAGUCUUGUAGAGGGGGGGUAGAAUUCCAGGUGUAGCGGUGAAAUGCGUAGAGAUCUGGAGGAAUACCGGUGGCGAAGGCGGCCCCCUGGACAAAGACUGACGCUCAGGUGCGAAAGCGUGGGGAGCAAACAGGAUUAGAUACCCUGGUAGUCCACGCCGUAAACGAUGUCGAUUUGGAGGUUGUGCCCUUGAGGCGUGGCUUCCGGAGCUAACGCGUUAAAUCGACCGCCUGGGGAGUACGGCCGCAAGGUUAAAACUCAAAUGAAUUGACGGGGGCCCGCACAAGCGGUGGAGCAUGUGGUUUAAUUCGAUGCAACGCGAAGAACCUUACCUGGUCUUGACAUCCACAGAACUU
rnacentral:rRNA from 1 species